ACUUAUGGCAUUACCACCCUGAACACGCCCGAUCUCGUCUGAUCACAGAAGCUAAGCAGAGACGAGCCCGGUUAAUACUUGGAUGGUAGGGUGCCUGGGAAUACCAGGUGCUGUAAGCU
rnacentral:rRNA from 1 species